rnacentral:rRNA from 1 species
AGAGUUUGAUCCUGGCUCAGGAUGAACGCUGGCGGCGCGCCUAACACAUGCAAGUCGAACGGCACCCCUCUUCGGAGGGAAGCGAGUGGCGAACGGCUGAGUAACACGUGGAGAACCCGCCCCCUCCUCCGGGAUAGCCUCGGGAAACCGUGGGUAAUACCGGAUGACCCCGCAGGGCCGCAUGGCCCCGCGGGCAAAGCCCAGACGGGAGGGGAUGGCUCCGCGGCCCAUCAGGUAGACGGCGGGGUGACGGCCCACCGUGCCGACGACGGGUAGCCGGGUUGAGAGACCGACCGGCCAGAUUGGGACUGAGACACGGCCCAGACUCCUACGGGAGGCAGCAGUGGGGAAUCUUGCGCAAUGGGGGGAACCCUGACGCAGCGACGCCGCGUGCGGGACGAAGGCCCUCGGGUCGUAAACCGCUUUCAGCAGGGAUGAGACAAGACGGUACCUGCAGAAGAAGCCCCGGCUAACUACGUGCCAGCAGCCGCGGUAAUACGUAGGGGGCGAGCGUUAUCCGGAUUCAUUGGGCGUAAAGCGCGCGUAGGCGGCCCUGCAGGCAGGGGGUCAAAUGGCGGGGCUCAACCCCGUCCCGCCCCCUGAACCGCCGGGCUCGGGUCCGGUAGGGGAGGGUGGAACACCCGGUGUAGCGGUGGAAUGCGCAGAUAUCGGGUGGAACACCGGUGGCGAAGGCGGCCCUCUGGGCCGAGACCGACGCUGAGGCGCGAAAGCUGGGGGAGCGAACAGGAUUAGAUACCCUGGUAGUCCCAGCCGUAAACGAUGGACGCUAGGUGUGGGGGGACGAUCCCUCCCUGCCCCAGCCAAC